rnacentral:misc_RNA from 1 species
AAGUCGUAACAAGGUCUCCGUAGGUGAACCUGCGGAGGGGAUCAUUACCAGAGUUUCACUGGCCCUCGGGUAGACCUCCCACCCUUGUGUAUUCAUACCUUUGUUGCUUUGGCAGGCCGCCAGGCUUCGGCCAGGCUAUCGGCUCCGGCUGGUAAGAGCCUGCCAAAGGACCCUAAAAUCUCUGAAUGUUAGUGUCGUCUGAGUACUAUAUAAUGUUAAAA